AGCGCGGGGCAACCUGGCGGCGAGUGGCGAACGGGUGAGUAAUAUAUCGGAACGUACCCAAGAGUGGGGGAUAACGCAGCGAAAGUUGCGCUAAUACCGCAUACGAUCUAUGGAUGAAAGCAGGGGACCGCAAGGCCUUGUGCUCCUGGAGCGGCCGAUAUCUGAUUAGCUAGUUGGUGAGGUAAAGGCUCACCAAGGCGACGAUCAGUAGCUGGUCUGAGAGGACGACCAGCCACACUGGAACUGAGACACGGUCCAGACUCCUACGGGAGGCAGCAGUGGGGAAUUUUGGACAGUGGGAGCAAGCCUGAUCCAGCAAUGCCGCGUGAGUGAAGAAGGCCUUCGGGUUGUAAAGCUCUUUUGUCAGGGAAGAAACGGCUGUGGCUAAUAUCCACGGCUAAUGACGGUACCUGAAGAAUAAGCACCGGCUAACUACGUGCCAGCAGCCGCGGUAAUACGUAGGGUGCAAGCGUUAAUCGGAAUUACUGGGCGUAAAGCGUGCGCAGGCGGUUUUGUAAGUCUGACGUGAAAUCCCCGGGCUUAACCUGGGAAUUGCGUUGGAGACUGCAAGGCUAGAAUCUGGCAGAGGGGGGUAGAAUUUCACGUGUAGCAGUGAAAUGCGUAGAGAUGUGGAGGAACACUCGAUGGCGAAGGCAGUCUCUCUGGGUCAAGAUUGACGCUCAUGCACGAAAGUGUGGGGAGCAAACAGGAUUAGAUACCUCUGGUAGUCUAUGUUUCUAAACGAUGUCUACUAGUUGUCGGGUCUUAAUUGACUUGGUAAC
rnacentral:rRNA from 1 species